rnacentral:lncRNA from 1 species
GGUCCCGAGGCGACCGACCGCCCCUCAAGGAGCGCCGCGGCCCUCACAGCGACCGUCCUUCGCGGGGGAGCGAGCAGGAGUGCUGUCUGCUCAAAGCCAUUUGUAUCCUUGGGAAGCAUCAGUGCAAGAAAACAAGGACAAGCCUCACUUCGACUGUGAAUAAGUUUUCAGAUAAAUCUGCAUUAAAAAAAUGGCAUUCCUACGGACUGUACUUCAUACAAAGCCAAGACUCAAAACUUCAUAGCUUUCAUGUGUUUACAAAAGAACAAAUACUGCAUAGAUACCACAUGAAUAGCUGGAGUCGGCAUGAAAACGCAGCCUUUUGGCAAGGUUGAGCUCAUGAGCUGGCAAACACCUUCAGGAGGCAGUGAACUCUAAUUAGAAUCAAGGAGCUGGCCACAUGCAGUGUCUUUUGCUCUGUGAAUCCUGGGUCUGGUCAGCUCCAGGUAGCUAAAGUCUUCCAUUACAGAUAGAUCUUUACCAUAAGAACAUAACUUCUCUUUCUGUAAUAUGCUGCAAAAUUAACACAUAGCUUUCAAAGAGCUCUUCUCUUUGUUGGACACACACUUUGAUUACACACUGUACUAACUUUAUGAUUUCAUAAACUGAUGAACUAAGCCAAUAUAAUUGGUAACACACUGAUCUAAUCUCAAUUGCCAUUUUGGUUUCAUUAUAAUGUUCAGUAGUUGAGCCUAUGUAAUGUGCUUCUGUGAUGUUAAUAUUUACCUUUGUAUUUAAAAUAAUAAAAUCAGAAAAAGCACACAGAA